rnacentral:rRNA from 1 species
AGUAGGGAAUAUUGGACAAUGGGUGAGAGCCUGAUCCAGCCAUGCCGCGUGCAGGAAGACGGCCUUCUGGGUUGUAAACUGCUUUUAUCUGGGGAUAAAAUGUCCAUGCGUGGAUAACUGAAGGUACCAGAUGAAUAAGCCACGGCUAACUACGUGCCAGCAGCCGCGGUAAUACGUAGGUGGCAAGCGUUGUCCGGAUUUAUUGGGUUUAAAGGGUGCGUAGGUUGUUUAGUAAGUCAGUGGUGAAAUCCGGCAGCUUAACUGUCGAUGUGCCAUUGAUACUGCUGAACUUGAGUACAGACGAGGUAGGCGGAAUUGACGGUGUAGCGGUGAAAUGCUUAGAUAUCGUCAAGAACACCGAUAGCGAAGGCAGCUUACUAGACUGUAACUGACACUGAUGCACGAAAGUGUGGGGAUCAAA